CCUGCCUCGGUUAACAUCAAGUGCUAGUUAGAACUACUUUCCCCAAAAUAACAAGAACUGCCAUCUUUGAGAGUUUCAUUGUAACCGUGUCAGCCUCGUCGUCG
rnacentral:sRNA from 1 species